CUUGCUCUCGGGUGACGAGUGGCGGACGGGUGAGUAAUGUCUGGGAAACUGCCUGAUGGAGGGGGAUAACUACUGGAAACGGUAGCUAAUACCGCAUAACGUCGCAAGACCAAAGAGGGGGACCUUCGGGCCUCUUGCCAUCAGAUGUGCCCAGAUGGGAUUAGCUAGUAGGUGGGGUAACGGCUCACCUAGGCGACGAUCCCUAGCUGGUCUGAGAGGAUGACCAGCCACACUGGAACUGAGACACGGUCCAGACUCCUACGGGAGGCAGCAGUGGGGAAUAUUGCACAAUGGGCGCAAGCCUGAUGCAGCCAUGCCGCGUGUAUGAAGAAGGCCUUCGGGUUGUAAAGUACUUUCAGCGGGGAGGAAGGCGAUGAGGUUAAUAACCUUGUCGAUUGACGUUACCCGCAGAAGAAGCACCGGCUAACUCCGUGCCAGCAGCCGCGGUAAUACGGAGGGUGCAAGCGUUAAUCGGAAUUACUGGGCGUAAAGCGCACGCAGGCGGUCUGUCAAGUCGGAUGUGAAAUUCCCGGGCUCAACCUGGGAACUGCAUUCGAAACUGGGA
rnacentral:rRNA from 1 species